rnacentral:sRNA from 1 species
UUACAAGAAGAUGAAAGACAAACAGUAC